CACGUAGUUAGCCGGUGCUUCUUCUUACGGUACUGUCAUCCACGCGAAAUAUUCAUCCGCGCGAUUUCGUUCCGUCCGAAAGUGCUUUACAACCCGAAGGCCUUCUUCACACACGCGGCAUGGCUGGAUCAGGCUUGCGCCCAUUGUCCAAAAUUCCCCA
rnacentral:rRNA from 1 species